rnacentral:rRNA from 1 species
AAUCAACGCUGGCGGCGCGCUUAACACAUGCAAGUCGAGCGAGAAAGUCCCUUCGGGGAUGAGUAAAGCGGCGGACGGGUGAGUAACACGUGGGUAACCUGCCCUCGAAUGGGGAAUAACCCCGGGAACUGGGGCGUAAUACCGCAUACGAUCCUUCGGGAUGAAAGCCUUCGGGCGUUCGAGGAGGGCCCGCGCCCGAUUAGCUAGUUGGUAGGGUAACGGCCUACCAAGGCUCCGAUCGGUAGCCGGCCUGAGAGGGCACACGGCCACACUGGCACUGAGACACGGGCCAGACUCCUACGGGAGGCAGCAGUGGGGAAGUCUUGGACAAUGGGGGAAACCCGUGAUCCAGCGACGCCGCGUGACCGAUGAAGCCCUUCGGG